AAAAAGGCAGAAAUGCUAGAGACCCCCCGACCUUGUAGCUUUUUAUUCAGUGAAUACCUUAACUAUCACUAAUAUGAAAUACCCCCGGAACUUAUUUUUUCAACCGUUAUAUACACCUACAACGUCCACCUGGCAUAGAAACUGACAACAAGCUCAGCUAGGCGCGUGAGGGAGUAAAUAUUUUGCCGCAUCAUAUUACUUCAAUGGUGAGAAACAUUAAAAAUUCUUGUUUCUUUAUUUUUUUCCUUUUUUUGCACAGCAUCUCUCUUAAUUCUCUUCCUAUUUAUUCUCCCUAAACCCUUCUUCUCCA
rnacentral:misc_RNA from 1 species